UACGUAGGUGGCGAGCGUUAUCCGGAUUUACUGGGUGUAAAGGGCGUGUAGGCGGGACUGCAAGUCAGAUGUGAAAACUCAGGGCUCAACCCUGAGCCUGCAUUUGAAACUGUAGUUCUUGAGUACUGGAGAGGCAGGCGGAAUUCCCUGUGUAGCGGUGAAAUGCGUAGAUAUAGGGAGGAACACCAGUGGCGAAGGCGGCCUGCUGGACAGCAACUGACGUUGAGGCUCGAAAGCGUGGGGAGCAAACAGG
rnacentral:rRNA from 1 species